CCUACGUGGGGCAGCAGUGAGGAAUAUUGGUCAAUGGACGAGAGUCUGAACCAGCCAAGUAGCGUGAAGGAUGACUGCCCUAUGGGUUGUAAACUUCUUUUAUAAAGGAAUAAAACGAGGCACGUGUGCCUUUUUGCAUGUACUUUAUGAAUAAGGAUCGGCUAACUCCGUGCCAGCAGCCUCGGUAAUACGGAGGAUCCGAGCGUUAUCCGGAUUUAUUGGGUUUAAAGGGAGCGUAGAUGGGGUGUUAAGUCAGUUGUGAAAGUUUGCGGCUCAACCGUAAAAUUGCAAUUGAUACUGGCUGUCUUGAGUACAGUUGAGGUAGGCGGAAUUCGUGGUGUAGCGGUGAAAUGCUUAGAUAUCACGAAGAACCCCGAUUGCGAAGGCAGCUUACUAAACUGUGACUGACAUUGAUGCUCGAAAGUGUGGGUAUCAAACAGGAUUAGAUACCCGUGUAGUC
rnacentral:rRNA from 1 species